rnacentral:rRNA from 1 species
UACGUAGGGUGCAAGCGUUAAUCGGAAUUACUGGGCGUAAAGCGUGCGCAGGCGGUUUUGUAAGACUGUCGUGAAAUCCCCGGGCUCAACCUGGGAAUGGCGAUGGUGACUGCAAGGCUAGAGUUUGGCAGAGGGGGGUAGAAUUCCACGUGUAGCAGUGAAAUGCGUAGAUAUGCGGAGGAACACCGAUGGCGAAGGCAGUCCCCUGGGCCUGUACUGACGCUCAUGCACGAAAGCGUGGGGAGCAAACAGG